AUACGGAGGGUGCAAGCGUUAUUCGGAAUCACUGGGCGUAAAGGGUGCGUAGGUGGUUUGAUAAGUCUGAUGUGAAAUCCUAUGGCUCAACCAUAGAACUGCAUUGGAAACUGUCAGACUAGAAUACUGAAGGGGCAGAUGGAAUUAGUGGUGUAGGGGUAAAAUCCGUAGAUAUCACUAGGAAUACCGAAAGCGAAAGCGAUCUGCUGGGAAGUUAUUGACGCUGAGGCACGAAAGCGUGGGGAGCAAACGGGAUUAGAAACCCUAGUAGUCC
rnacentral:rRNA from 1 species